rnacentral:rRNA from 1 species
UACGUAGGGUGCGAGCGUUAAUCGGAAUUACUGGGCGUAAAGCGUGCGCAGGCGGCGCGUUAAGACAGGUGUGAAAGCCCCGAGCUUAACUUGGGAAUUGCGCUUGUGACUGGCGUGCUGGAGUGUGGCAGAGGUAGGUGGAAUUCCACGUGUAGCAGUGAAAUGCGUAGAGAUGUGGAGGAACACCGAUGGCGAAGGCAGCCUCCUGGGCCAGCACUGACGCUCAUGCACGAAAGCGUGGGGAGCAAACAGG